GACGAACGCUGGCGGCGUGCUUAACACAUGCAAGUCGAACGGCGAUGCUCGAGCUUGCUGGCGUUGAUCAGUGGGGAGCGGGUGAGUAACACGUGUGCAACCUCCCCCAGACUCUGGAAUAAGCGCUGGAAACGCCGUCGAAUACUGGAGACGAAACUGGCCCGCAUGUGCAUGGUUUGGGAAGGUUUUCGGUUUGGGCUGGGCUCGCGGGCUAUCAGCUUGUUGGUGAGGUAGUGGCUGACCAAGGCGACGACGGGUAGCCGGCCUGAGAGGGCGACCGGCCACACUGGGACUGAGACACGGCCCAGACUCCUACGGGAGGCAGCAGUGGGGAAUAUUGCACAAUGGGCGCAAGCCUGAUGCAGCGACGCCGCGUGAGGGAUGACGGCCUUCGGGUUGUAAACCUCUUUCAGCAGGGAAGAAGCGAAAGUGACGGUACCUGCAGAAGAAGCACCGGCUAACUACGUG
rnacentral:rRNA from 1 species